AUUGAACGCUGGCGGCAGGCCUAACACAUGCAAGUCGAGCGGGGUUUUCGGGCCUAGCGGCGGACGGGUGAGUAAUGCGUAGGAAGCUACCCGAUAGAGGGGGAUACCAGUUGGAAACGACUGUUAAUACCGCAUAAUGUCUACGGACCAAAGUGUGGGACCUUCGGGCCACAUGCUAUCGGAUGCGCCUACGUGGGAUUAGCUAGUUGGUGAGGUAAUGGCUCACCAAGGCGACGAUCCCUAGCUGGUUUGAGAGGAUGAUCAGCCACACUGGAACUGAGACACGGUCCAGACUCCUACGGGAGGCAGCAGUGGGGAAUAUUGGACCAUGGGCGCAAGCCUGAUCCAGCCAUGCCGCGUGUGUGAAGAAGGCCUUCGGGUUGUAAAGCACUUUCAGCGAGGAGGAAGGGGUGAGUGUUAAUAGUACUCAUCUUUGACGUUACUCGCAGAAGAAGCACCGGCUAAUUCUGUGCCAGCCGCCGCAGUAACAC
rnacentral:rRNA from 1 species